UGGGUACAGGCGCGUGCUGGGUACAGGCGCGUGCUGGGUACAGGCGCGUGCUGGGUACAGGCGCGUGCUGGGUACAGGUGCGUGCUGGGUACAGGUGCGUGCUGGGUACUUGUGCGUGCUGGGUACAGGUGCCUGCUGGGUACUGGUGCGUGCUGGGUACAGGUGCGUGCUGGGUACAGGUGCCUGCUGGGUACUGGUGCGUGCUGGGUACUUGUGCGUGCUGGGUACAGGUGCGUGCUGGGUACAGGUGCGUGCUGGGUACAGGUGCGUGCUGGGUACAGGUGUCUGCUGGGUACUUGUGCAUGCUGGGUACAGGUGCGUGCUGGGUACAGGUGUCUGCUGGGUACAGGUGUCUGCUGGGUACAGGUGCCUGCUGGGUACUGGUGCAUGCUGGGUACAGGUGCCUGCUGGGUACUGGUGCCUGCUGGGUACUUGUGCGUGCUGGGUACUUGUGCGUGCUGGGUACAGGUGCGUGCUGGGUACAGGUGCCUGCUGGGUACAGGUGCGUGCUGGGUACAGGUGCGUGCUGGGUACAGGUGCGUGCUGGGUACUGGUGCGUGCUGGGUACUUGUGCGUGCUGGGUACAGGUGCGUGCUGGGUACAGGUGCGUGCUGGGUACUGGUGCGUGCUGGGUACAGGUGCGUGCUGGGUACUUGUGCGUGCUGGGUACUUGUGCGUGCUGGGUACUUAUGCGUGCUGGGUACCGGUGCGUGCUGGGUACAGGUGCGUGCUGGGUACUUGUGCGUGCUGGGUACAGGUGCGUGCUGGGUACAGGUGCGUGCUGGGUACAGGUGCGUGCUGGGUACUGGUGCGUGCUGGGUACUUGUGCGUGCUG